AGGGUGCAGCGUAUCGGAAUUACUGGGCGUAAAGCGUGCGCAGGCGGUUUUGUUAAGUCUGUCGUGAAAGCCCCGAGCUCAACCUGGGAAUUGCGAUGGAGACUGCAAGGCUUGAAUCUGGCAGAGGGGGGUAGAAUUCCACGUGUAGCAGUGAAAUGCGUAGAGAUGUGGAGGAACACCGAUGGCGAAGGCAGCCCCCUGGGUCAAGAUUGACGCUCAUGCACGAAAGCGUGGGGAGCAAACAGGAUUAGAUACCCUGGUAGUCCACGCCCUAAACGAUGUCUACUAGUUGUCGGGUUUUAAUUAACUUGGUAACGCAGCUAACGCGUGAAGUAGACCGCCUGGGGAGUACGGUCGCAAGAUUAAAACUCAAAGGAAUUGACGGGGACCCGCACAAGCGGUGGAUGAUGUGGAUUAAUUCGAUGCAACGCGAAAAACCUUACCUACCCUUGACAUGUCAGGAAGGCUGGAGAGAUCUGGCUGUGCCCGAAAGGGAACCUGAACACAGGUGCUGCAUGGCUGUCGUCAGCUCGUGUCGUGAGAUGUUGGGUUAAGUCCCGCAACGAGCGCAACCCUUGUCAUUAGUUGCUACAUUCAGUUGAGCACUCUAAUGAGACUGCCGGUGACAAACCGGAGGAAGGUGGGGAUGACGUCAAGUCCUCAUGGCCCUUAUGGGUAGGGCUUCACACGUCAUACAAUGGUACAUACAGAGGGCCGCCAACCCGCGAGGGGGAGCUAAUCCCAGAAAGUGUAUCGUAGUCCGGAUCGCAGUCUGCAACUCGACUGCGUGAAGUCGGAAUCGCUAGUAAUCGCGGAUCAGAAUGCCGCGGUGAAUACGUUCCCGGGUCUUGUACACACCGCCCGUCACACCAUGGGAGCGGGUUCUGCCAGAA
rnacentral:rRNA from 1 species